GAUGAACGCUGGCGGAGGGAGGAACACAGGAAAGUCGAACGGUGAACACGGAGCUUGCUCUGUGGGAUCAGUGGCGAACGGGUGAGUAACACGUGAGCAACCUGCUCCUGACUCUGGGAUAAGCGCUGGAAACGGCGUCUAAUACUGGAUAUGUGACGUGACCGCAUGGUCUGCGUUUGGAAAGAUUUUUCGGUUGGGGAUGGGCUCGCGGCCUAUCAGCUUGUUGGUGAGGUAAUGGCUCACCAAGGCGUCGACGGGUAGCCGGCCUGAGAGGGUGACCGGCCACACUGGGACUGAGACACGGCCCAGACUCCUACGGGAGGCAGCAGUGGGGAAUAUUGAACAAUGGGCGCAAGCCUGAUGCAGCAAAGCCGCGUGAGGGAUAACUGCCUUCGGGUUGUAAACAUCUUUUAGCAGGGAAGAAGCGAAAGUGACGGUACCUGCAGAAAAAGCGCCGGCUAACUACGUC
rnacentral:rRNA from 1 species